ensembl:lncRNA
UGGGUGGAAUGGGCGAGGCCGAGGUUGCUAGAUGACACACAUAAGAAGCUGACUCAUAGUUCCAUGUGUGCGUUGAGAUGGCGGAAAUAGACUAGGAGAGUUGUCAUAUCAAAGGUACUUGAGGAGGGAAAGAAGAAACUACUAUCCUCUCUCUCACUCUCUCUCUCUCUCUCUCUCUCUCUCUAUCGGCCCCCUGGUUGUCACGUCAGCUCUAUUCUCAAACCCUCCUCUUUCCCCAUAAGUCUUGGAUCGUUGCCUCGCUCUCUCUGUAUUUAUCUAAUAUUGGUUGAGGAUCAGGUCGCUCAUGAGGUGGGCUUACGACUCUAUCAAGCCACUGGGUUUCUGGAAACCAAGAAAAAGCAAACAGGCAUUUUCUUUCCUCAUCUGUAAACUUCAGGGUGGAAGGGGACUGUGUUUAAACGUGCCGGGUGUCUGUAGCGGGGAUACCCCCUUAGAGAAUGAUACCAAAGUUAAUGCCCUGCUCAGCGACCCGGAACCGGAGCACACAGACUUUAGAAUCCCCCCAGGUCCACUCAAAUGCCAAUUCUGAGCAGUAGCCAUUGAUCGCUCAUGUUAACCACCUCAUGUUUCUGCAGCGCCGCAGACUAUUGCAUCCUCCUCCCCGCCUCAGAGCCGCAGCAGCAGUCAGUCACCGUGAAAUGCACGGAUCAGUGAUUGAGCUUGUUUAUUUCAAGAUGGCCUCCCGGAGAAAUAAUGUGUUGAAGAAUGGCCGUAAACAUCAGGGCUAGCCGUGGAAGAUGCGAUAAUUCAAAAGAUAAAGCCCAAAAAAUGAUAGCACAGAGCUGACAAUUACUUUCCACUCGCUUUGAUCAUCAACACACACAUUGACAUACACCCUCUCUCUCUCUCUCUCUGCCUCUCUCUCUUCCUAUGCCGCUCUCUCUUACAAUACAGCUUUAGUCCAAAGGUUUUCAAGCAAGACGGCAGUCAGAUGUUAAAGAAUAAAACCAAAGAAUUCUACCUUGACCUUCUCUUGAACACAAACCCAUCGACUGCUUCUCCUAGCUCUCCCUGUCUCUCUCUCUCUCUCUCUCUCUCUUCUCUCCCACCGGUUUCCUCUGUCACCUAGUGAAACGGACUCAGAAGCGAUAACCUCAGCUAUCCAAAGGAAAAUCAGAAUAAUAAUAUUGAUGAUGAUGAUGAUGAUGAUGAUAAUAAUGAUGAUUUACUAAGAUAAUGACCAUGAAAUGUAUAUUUUUAAGUAUCUGUCUUUGGAAAAAUAAUCUUAAGCUUCUCGUAUUUCGGGUGAUCAUGACAGUCGUGAUGGUGGUGAUGAUGACGAUGAUGAUGAAGUUUCUCUUGGUAUCUCUGUAGCUGUUCUUCUGAUCCUUCUUAAGUUUGUGUCUUUUCUGCUCAUGCUGCCAGGGUACAGCAAACUACCCCCCCCCCGACCUUCAGUUGGUCUUCCCUUAUGUGUUUUCUUCAAAUGUCUGUCUGUCUGACCCCUGUUACUGUUAUUAUGUCUGUUUGUGUGUGUGUGUGUGUGUGUGUGUGUGUGUUUGUAUGUGUGUGUGCGUGGUUGUGUGUGCAUGUGUGCAUGCGUGCGUGGGCCAGUGUGUGUGGUUGUGUGUGCGCAUGCGUGAGUGUGUGUGUGUGUGUGUGUGUGUGUGUGUGUGUGUGUGUGUGUGUGUGUGUGUGUGUGUGUGUGUGUGUGUGUGUGUGUGUGUGUUUGUCAGGCUGUGUGCAUGACAGAGAGAACAAGUCAAACAUUGACAGGGGGUUUUCCUGGGGAUCAGACAUGUUCUCCAGUUGUGAUUUUAUCUGUCAGUUGGCGGUUGGAGCUGUAGGGUGGGAGGUGAUGACACACAUGUCUGUAUGACUGCUGGAGCGGGGCAGGAGGAUGGGCGGGGUCAAAGGGGGCGUUGGUUCCUGGAAGGGAAGAAGCUAUUCCAUGUUAGGAACAAUCGUCUGCACUAUUGUUGACUGUCCUGUAGUUUACAGCAUGCAGCCCCAACAGCCGACAGUUGUUCCUGUGAAUGUGUGUGUGUGUGUGUGUGUGUGUGUGUGUGUGUGUGCAUUUAUAUGCUUAUUUGCAUAAGAGGAUAAGUGGAUUUUGUGGGUGUGUUGGUGUUUGCUUAGGACUAUCUGUGUUUGUGUCUACACGUGCAUGUGUGUGUCUGCGUAUGACUAUCUGUAUGUGUGUGUGUGUGUGUGUGUGUCUGUGUGUGUGUGUUGGUGUGCGUGUGUGUGUGUGUGCGUUUGCGUAGUGCUAUCUGUGUGUAUGUAUGUGUGUGUUUAUGUGUGUUGGUCAGUGUGUUUGUGUGUGUGUGUGUGUGUGUGUGUGUGUGUGUGUGUG